AUUGAACGCUGGCGGCAUGCCUUACACAUGCAAGUCGAACGGCAGCACGGGAGCAAUCCUGGUGGCGAGUGGCGAACGGGUGAGUAAUAUAUCGGAACGUGCCCAGUCGUGGGGAUAACGUAGCGAAAGCUACGCUAAUACCGCAUACGAUCUAUGGAUGAAAGCGGGGGAUCGCAAGACCUCGCGCGAUUGGAGCGGCCGAUAUUAGAUUAGGUAGUUGGUGAGGUAAAGGCUCACCAAGCCGACGAUCUGUAGCUGGUCUGAGAGGACGACCAGCCACACUGGGACUGAGACACGGCCCAGACUCCUACGGAGGCAGCAGUGGGGAAUUUUGGACAAUGGCGCAAGCCUGAUCCAGCAAUGCCGCGUGCAGGAUGAA
rnacentral:rRNA from 1 species